rnacentral:rRNA from 1 species
UACGUAGGGUGCGAGCGUUAAUCGGAAUUACUGGGCGUAAAGCGCACGUAGGCGGUCCAGCAAGUCGGGUGUGAAAGCCCUCGGCUUAACCGAGGAAGUGCAUUCGAAACUACUGGACUUGAAUACUGAAGAGGAUCGCGGAAUUCCCGGUGUAGAGGUGAAAUUCGUAGAUAUCGGGAGGAACACCAGUGGCGAAGGCGGCGAUCUGGGCAGAUAUUGACGCUGAUGUGCGAAAGCGUGGGGAGCAAACAGG